rnacentral:rRNA from 1 species
UUAAGCGACUAAGCGUACACGGUGGAUGCCCUGGCAGUCAGAGGCGAUGAAGGACGUGCUAAUCUGCGAUAAGCGUCGGUAAGGUGAUAUGAACCGUUAUAACCGGCGAUUUCCGAAUGGGGAAACCCAGUGUGAUUCGUCACACUAUCAUUAACUGAAUCCAUAGGUUAAUGAGGCGAACCGGGGGAACUGAAACAUCUAAGUACCCCGAGGAAAAGAAAUCAACCGAGAUUCCCCCAGUAGCGGCGAGCGAACGGGGAGGAGCCCAGAGCCUGAAUCAGUGUGUGUGUUAGUGGAAGCGUCUGGAAAGGCGCGCGAUACAGGGUGACAGCCCCGUACACAAAAAUGCACAUGCUGUGAGCUCGAUGAGUAGGGCGGGACACGUGGUAUCCUGUCUGAAUAUGGGGGGACCAUCCUCCAAGGCUAAAUACUCCUGACUGACCGAUAGUGAACCAGUACCGUGAGGGAAAGGCGAAAAGAACCCCGGCGAGGGGAGUGAAAAAGAACCUGAAACCGUGUACGUACAAGCAGUGGGAGCACAGAGCAAUCUGUGUGACUGCGUACCUUUUGUAUAAUGGGUCAGCGACUUAUAUUCUGUAGCAAGGUUAACCGAAUAGGGGAGCCGAAGGGAAACCGAGUCUUAACUGGGCGUUAAGUUGCAGGGUAUAGACCCGAAACCCGGUGAUCUAGCCAUGGGCAGGUUGAAGGUUGGGUAACACUAACUGGAGGACCGAACCGACUAAUGUUGAAAAAUUAGCGGAUGACUUGUGGCUGGGGGUGAAAGGCCAAUCAAACCGGGAGAUAGCUGGUUCUCCCCGAAAGCUAUUUAGGUAGCGCCUCGUGAAUUCAUCUCCGGGGGUAGAGCACUGUUUCGGCAAGGGGGUCAUCCCGACUUACCAACCCGAUGCAAACUACGAAUACCGGAGAAUGUUAUCACGGGAGACACACGGCGGGUGCUAACGUCCGUCGUGAAGAGGGAAACAACCCAGACCGCCAGCUAAGGUCCCAAAGUCAUGGUUAAGUGGGAAACGAUGUGGGAAGGCCCAGACAGCCAGGAUGUUGGCUUAGAAGCAGCCAUCAUUUAAAGAAAGCGUAAUAGCUCACUGGUCGAGUCGGCCUGCGCGGAAGAUGUAACGGGGCUAAACCAUGCACCGAAGCUGCGGCAGCGACGCUGAUGCGUUGUUGGGUAGGGGAGCGUUCUGUAAGCCUGCGAAGGUGUGCUGUGAGGCAUGCUGGAGGUAUCAGAAGUGCGAAUGCUGACAUAAGUAACGAUAAAGCGGGUGAAAAGCCCGCUCGCCGGAAGACCAAGGGUUCCUGUCCAACGUUAAUCGGGGCAGGGUGAGUCGACCCCUAAGGCGAGGCCGAAAGGCGUAGUCGAUGGGAAACAGGUUAAUAUUCCUGUACUUGGUGUUACUGCGAAGGGGGGACGGAGAAGGCUAUGUUGGCCGGGCGACGGUUGUCCCGGUUUAAGCGUGUAGGCUGGUUUUCCAGGCAAAUCCGGAAAAUCAAGGCUGAGGCGUGAUGACGAGGCACUACGGUGCUGAAGCAACAAAUGCCCUGCUUCCAGGAAAAGCCUCUAAGCAUCAGGUAACAUCAAAUCGUACCCCAAACCGACACAGGUGGUCAGGUAGAGAAUACCAAGGCGCUUGAGAGAACUCGGGUGAAGGAACUAGGCAAAAUGGUGCCGUAACUUCGGGAGAAGGCACGCUGAUAUGUAGGUGAAGUCCCUCGCGGAUGGAGCUGAAAUCAGUCGAAGAUACCAGCUGGCUGCAACUGUUUAUUAAAAACACAGCACUGUGCAAACACGAAAGUGGACGUAUACGGUGUGACGCCUGCCCGGUGCCGGAAGGUUAAUUGAUGGGGUUAGCGCAAGCGAAGCUCUUGAUCGAAGCCCCGGUAAACGGCGGCCGUAACUAUAACGGUCCUAAGGUAGCGAAAUUCCUUGUCGGGUAAGUUCCGACCUGCACGAAUGGCGUAAUGAUGGCCAGGCUGUCUCCACCCGAGACUCAGUGAAAUUGAACUCGCUGUGAAGAUGCAGUGUACCCGCGGCAAGACGGAAAGACCCCGUGAACCUUUACUAUAGCUUGACACUGAACAUUGAGCCUUGAUGUGUAGGAUAGGUGGGAGGCUUUGAAGUGUGGACGCCAGUCUGCAUGGAGCCGACCUUGAAAUACCACCCUUUAAUGUUUGAUGUUCUAACGUUGACCCGUAAUCCGGGUUGCGGACAGUGUCUGGUGGGUAGUUUGACUGGGGCGGUCUCCUCCUAAAGAGUAACGGAGGAGCACGAAGGUUGGCUAAUCCUGGUCGGACAUCAGGAGGUUAGUGCAAUGGCAUAAGCCAGCUUGACUGCGAGCGUGACGGCGCGAGCAGGUGCGAAAGCAGGUCAUAGUGAUCCGGUGGUUCUGAAUGGAAGGGCCAUCGCUCAACGGAUAAAAGGUACUCCGGGGAUAACAGGCUGAUACCGCCCAAGAGUUCAUAUCGACGGCGGUGUUUGGCACCUCGAUGUCGGCUCAUCACAUCCUGGGGCUGAAGUAGGUCCCAAGGGUAUGGCUGUUCGCCAUUUAAAGUGGUACGCGAGCUGGGUUUAGAACGUCGUGAGACAGUUCGGUCCCUAUCUGCCGUGGGCGCUGGAGAAUUGAGGGGGGCUGCUCCUAGUACGAGAGGACCGGAGUGGACGCAUCACUGGUGUUCGGGUUGUCAUGCCAAUGGCACUGCCCGGUAGCUAAAUGCGGAAGAGAUAAGUGCUGAAAGCAUCUAAGCACGAAACUUGCCCCGAGAUGAGUUCUCCCUGACUCCUUGAGAGUCCUGAAGGAACGUUGAAGACGACGACGUUGAUAGGCCGGGUGUGUAAGCGCAGCGAUGCGUUGAGCUAACCGGUACUAAUGAACCGUGAGGCUUAACCUU